CCUACGGGAGGCAGCAGUGGGGAAUCUUGCACAAUGGAGGAAACUCUGAUGCAGCGAUGCCGCGUGAGUGAAGAAGGCCUUUGGGUUGUAAAGCUCUUUUGUAGGGGAAGAUAAUGACUGUACCCUAAGAAUAAGGUCCGGCUAACUUCGUGCCAGCAGCCGCGGUAAUACGAAGGGACCUAGCGUAGUUCGGAAUUACUGGGCGUAAAGCGCGCGUAGGCCGUUGAGUUAGUUAAUUGUGAAAUCCCAAAGCUUAACUUUGGAACUGCAAUUAAAACUGCUCGACUAGAGUUUGAUAGAGGAAAGCGGAAUACAUAGUGUAGAGGUGAAAUUCGUAGAUAUUAUGUAGAACACCAGUUGCGAAGGCGGCUUUCUGGAUCAACACUGACGCUGAGGCGCGAAAGUAUGGGUAGCAAAGAGGAUUAGAUACCCUCGUAGUCCAUACCAUAAACGAUGAUUGCUAGAUGUUGGAAAUUUAUUUUACAGUAUCGCAGCUAACGCAUUAAGCAAUCCGCCUGGGGAGUACGACCGCAAGGUUAAAACUCAAAGGAAUGACGGCUGAGACGNGCGAGCGACACGAGGAGAG
rnacentral:rRNA from 1 species